rnacentral:rRNA from 1 species
UUGACCUCGGAUCAGGUAGGGAUACCCGCUGAACUUAAGCAUAUCAAUAAGCGGAGGAAAAGAAACCAACAGGGAUUGCCCCAGUAACGGCGAGUGAAGCGGCAAGAGCUCAAAUUUGAAAGCUGGCUCCUUCGGGGUCCGCAUUGUAAUUUGCAGAGGAUGCUUCGGGAGCGGUCCCCAUCUAAGUGCCCUGGAACGGGACGUCAUAGAGGGUGAGAAUCCCGUAUGGGAUGGGGUGUCCGCGCCCGUGUGAAGCUCCUUCGACGAGUCGAGUUGUUUGGGAAUGCAGCUCUAAAUGGGUGGUAAAUUUCAUCUAAAGCUAAAUAUUGGCCGGAGACCGAUAGCGCACAAGUAGAGUGAUCGAAAGAUGAAAAGCACUUUGAAAAGAGAGUUAAAAAGCACGUGAAAUUGUUGAAAGGGAAGCGCUUGCGACCAGACUCGCUCGCGGGGUUCAGCCGGCAUUCGUGCCGGUGUAUUUCCCCGCGGGCGGGCCAGCGUCGGUUUGGGCGGUCGGUCAAAGGCCCUCGGAAGGUAACGCCCCCAGGGGCGUCUUAUAGCCGAGGGUGCAAUGCGACCUGCCUAGACCGAGGAACGCGCUUCGGCUCGGACGCUGGCAUAAUGG